rnacentral:rRNA from 1 species
AUGUUCGUGAGCAUGGAUGUAAUCUUCAGGGAACACAUACCAUUUUAUGGAGAACCUGUAGAUUUAACCGAUGUAUUUCCUGAUCUGUUUCCUAGUGAUGUUUCAGACCCGGUCAACAAGGCAGGGGGAGAAAAAGGAGAAGAGAGCAACUCUACACCAUCAAAGCAAGUGGUGGUUGGAGCAAUACCACUUAAGGACGGGAAUGAUGAUAGAGAUGUUGAUCUUAGAGGAGGACAAGAGCAGAUGCAAGGGGAGCAACAAUAUACAUCAGCUGAGGCUAUACGGUGGUCAAGGCCGAAUGAAGAACAAAAUCUAUAG